rnacentral:rRNA from 1 species
GAUUUCCUUGUAGUGGCUAAUGCGAACAAGCAGAAGGGUUUUGUUAUCUGUCCAUGUGUUGACUGUAAGAAUCAGAAGGGUUACUCUUCCUCAAGAGAAGUUCACCUGCACCUGCUUCGGCACGGUUUCAUGCCAAGCUAUAAUUGUUGGACCAAGCAUGGAGAAAGAGGGGUUAUAAUGGAAGAAGAUGAAGAAGGGGAUGAUUUCAUCGAUGAAAGCUAUCUUGCUCAUUUCGGUGAUACUUUCAUGGAGGAUGCUGAAGGUGAAGGGGAAGGUGAAGGGGCAGGUGAAGGGGAAGGUGAAGGGGAAGGUGAAGGUGAAGGUGAAGAAGAGGCAUGUGAUGAGACCGUUGAUGAUCUUGGUCGGACCAUUGCUGAUGCACGGAGACGCUGCGAAACUGAAAAUGAGAGGGAGAAUUUGGAUCGCAUGUUAGAGGAUCACAGAAAGUCGUUGUACCCUGGAUGCAAUGAUGGUCUGAAAAAGCUGGGUUGCACACUGGAUUUGCUGAAAUGGAAGGCACAGGCAGGUGUAGCUGACUCGGCAUUUGAAAACUUGCUGAAAAUGUUGAAGAAUAUGUUUCCAAAGAAUAACGAGUUGCCCGCCAGUAUGUACGAAGCAAAGAAGGUUGUCUGCCCUCUAGGUUUAGAGGUUCUGAAGAUACAUGCAUGCAUCAACGACUGCAUCCUCUACCGCGGUGAAUACGAGAAUUUG